UCGGGAAUAUUGGACAAUGGGCGAAAGCCUGAUCCAGCAACGCCGCGUGCGGGACGAAGGCCCUCGGGUCGUAAACCGCUGUCAGGAGGGAGGAACGGUGCGUGGUUAAGAGCUGCGUACUUUGACAGUACCUCCAGAGGAAGCACCGGCUAACUACGUGCCAGCAGCCGCGGUAAUACGUAGGGUGCAAGCGUUGUCCGGAAUUAUUGGGCGUAAAGAGCUCGUAGGCGGUCCGUUGCGUCUGCCGUGAAAACCCGGAGCUCAACUCCGGGCCUGCGGUGGAUACGGGCGGACUAGAGUCCGGUAGGGGAGACUGGAAUUCCUGGUGUAGCGGUGGAAUGCGCAGAUAUCAGGAGGAACACCGGUGGCGAAGGCGGGUCUCUGGGCCGGAACUGACGCUGAGGAGCGAAAGCAUGGGUAGCAAAACAGGAUUAGAUACCCUGGUAGUCCAUGCCGUAAACGUUGGCACUAGGUGUGGGUCUCAACCGAACGAGAUCCGCGCCGUCG
rnacentral:rRNA from 1 species